GUACAAGUCGUAACAAGGUAUCCGUAGGUGAACCUGCGGAUGGAUCAUUACCAAAGGAUCCACAUCCCACGUACUGUGAACUGUCUGAUGCGCCGGUGGUGGCUGGGAGUUGGCUUUGCCGCUCGCAGUCGUCGCCGCGCACCACAUUCUACACGUCUACUCAUACAACUGAAGUCUUGUUUAUACAAUGAAACUAUAAACAACUUUUAGCAAUGGAUCUCUUGGCUCUU
rnacentral:misc_RNA from 1 species